rnacentral:rRNA from 1 species
UGAAUACGAGAUGCUACGGCGUCGAAGCAGUCUAUGUCAUACUUCCAAGAAAAGCUUGCACUGUCAUAAACAAAUAAUGCCUGUACCAUAACCGACACAGGUGGGUAGGUAGAGUAUACUAAGGGGCGCGAGAUAACUCUCUCUAAGGAACUCGGCAAAAUGACUCCGUAACUUCGGGAGAAGGAGUGCCUUAUUUUAUAAGGUUGCAAUAACAAGAUCCAAGCAACUGUUUACCAAAAACACAGGUCUCCGCUAAGUCGUAAGACGAUGUAUGGGGGCUGACGCCUGCCCAGUGCCAGAAGGUUAAAGAAGUUGGUUAGCAUCCGCGAAGCUGAUAACUGAAGCCCUGGUGAACGGCGGCCGUAACGAUAACGGUCCUAAGGUAGCGAAAUUCCUUGUCGGGUAAGUACCGACCCGCACGAAAGGCGUAAUGAUUUGGAUACUGUCUCAGAGAGGGGCUCGGUGAAAUAGACUUGUCUGUGAAGAUGCGGACUACCUGCACCAGGACAGAAAGACCCUAUGAAGCUUUACUGUAACUUGAAAUUGAAAUUGGACUUUACUUGCGCAGUAUAGGUGGGAGGCGUUGAGAACAUUCUUGCGGGAAUGUUGGAGCCAUCAGUGAGAUACCACUCUUGUAAUGUUAGAUUUCUAACUUUGUAUCAUUAUCUGGUCAAAGGACAGUUUCAGGCGGGCAGUUUGACUGGGGCGGUCGCCUCCCAAACGGUAACGGAGGCGCACAAAGGUUUCCUCUGAACGGGUAGAAAUCGUAUCUAGAGUGUAAAGGCAUAAGGAAGCUUGACUGUGAGACCUACAAGUCGAGCAGGGACGAAAGUCGGUCUUAGUGAUCUGACGGUGCUGAGUGGAAAGGCCGUCACUCAACGGAUAAAAGUUACUCUAGGAUAACAGGCUGAUCUCCCCCAAGAGUUCACAUCGACGGGGAGGUUUGGCACCUCGAUGUCGGCUCAUCGCAUCCUGGGGCGGUAGUACGUCCCAAGGGUUGGGCUGUUCGCCCAUGAAAGCGGUACGCGAGCUGGGUUCAGAACGUCGUGAGACAGUUCGGUCCAUAUCCGGUGUAGGCGUUAGAAUAUUGAGAGGAGCCUUCUUUAGUACGAGAGGACCGAGAAGGACAUACCUCUGGUGUACCAGUUAUCGUGCCAACGGUAAACGCUGGGUAGCUAUGUAUGGAGUGGAUAACCGCUGAAAGCAUCUAAGUGGGAAGCCCACCUCAAGAUAAG